CGCUGGCGGCGUGCCUAACACAUGCAAGUCGAACGGGUUAAGAGAAUUUUCGGAUGGACCUUAACUUAGUGGCGGACGGGUGAGUAACGCGUGGAUAACCUGCCUCACACAGGGGGAUAGCAGCUGGAAACGGCUGGUAAUACCGCAUAAGACCACGGCCCCGCAUGGGGCUGUAGUAAAAGAUUUUAUCGGUGUGAGAUGGAUCCGCGUCUGAUUAGCCAGUUGGCGGGGUAACGCCCACCAAAGCGACGAUCAGUAGCCGGCCUGAGAGGGUGAACGGCCACAUUGGGACUGAGACACGGCCCAAACUCCUACGGGAGGCAGCAGUGGGGAAUAUUGCACAAUGGGCGCAAGCCUGAUGCAGCAACGCCGCCGUGAGUGAAGAAGUAUUUCGGUAUGUAAAGCUCUAUCAGCAGGGAAGAAAGGCUCUUCGGAGAGAUGACGGUACCUGACUAAGAAGCCCCGGCUAACUACGUGCCAGCCGCUGC
rnacentral:rRNA from 1 species